rnacentral:tRNA from 1 species
GCGAGCGUAGUUCAAUGGUAAAACAUCUCCUUGCCAAGGAGAAGAUACGGGUUUGAUUCCCGCCGCUCGCC